AGAAUCAACGCUGGCGGCGUGCCUAACACAUGCAAGUCGAACGAGAAAGUGGAGCAAUCCAUGAGUAAAGUGGCGACCGGGUGAGUAACACGUGACUAACCUACCCUAGAGUGGGGAAUAACCUCGGGAAACCGGGGCUAAUACCGCAUAACAUCGCAGAGGGAAGCUCUUUGCGAUCAAAGGAGCAAUUCGCUCAAGGAGGGGGUCGCGGCUGAUUAGUUAGUUGGUGAGGUAAUGGCUCACCAAGACUUAGAUCAGUAUCCGGCCUGAGAGGGCGCACGGGACACACUGGAACUGAAACACGGUCCAGACUCCUACGGGAGGCAGCAGUGGGGAAUUUUGCGCAAUGGGGGAAACCCUGACGCAGCAACGCCGCGUGGAGGAUGAAGUCCCUUGGGAUGUAAACUCCUUUCGAUCGGGACGAUUAUGACGGUACCGGAAGAAGAAGCACCGGCUAACUCCGCGCCAGCAGCCGC
rnacentral:rRNA from 1 species